UAGGGAAUAUUGGGCAAUGGUCGCAAGACUGACCCAGCCAUGCCGCGUGCAGGAAGACGGCCCUCUGGGUUGUAAACUGCUUUUAUCUGGGAAGAAAAAGUCCAUGCGUGGAAAAUUGCCGGUACCAGAUGAAUAAGCACCGGCUAACUCCGUGCCAGCAGCCGCGGUAAUACGGAGGGUGCAAGCGUUGUCCGGAUUUAUUGGGUUUAAAGGGUGCGUAGGCGGCUGAAUAAGUCAGCGGUGAAAGACUUCGGCUUAACCGGAGCAGUGCCGUUGAUACUGUUUAGCUUGAGUGUUGGAGGGGUACAUGGAAUUGAUGGUGUAGCGGUGAAAUGCAUAGAUACCAUCAGGAACACCGAUAGCGAAGGCAUUGUACUGGCCAACA
rnacentral:rRNA from 1 species